UAAUACGAACUGUGCGAACGUUAUUCGGAAUCACUGGGCUUAAAGGGUGCGUAGGCGGUUUUCCAAGUCAUGUGUGAAAUCUUCUGGCUCAACCAGAAAACUGCGCGUGAUACUAGAGAACUUGAGUGAGGUAGGGGUGUGUGGAACUUCCGGUGGAGCGGUGAAAUGUGUAGAGAUCGGAAGGAACGCCAGCAGCGAAAGCGGCACACUGGGCCUUUUCUGACGCUGAGGCACGAAAGCUAGGGGAGUGAACGGGAUUAGAUACCCCGGUAAUCCUAGCCGUAAACACUGAACACUGGAGGAAGGGGGCUUCGGCCUUCUUUCUCGUAGCGAAAGCGUUAAGUGUUCCGCCUGGGGAGUAUGGUCGCAAGGCUGAAACUUAAAGGAAUUGACGG
rnacentral:rRNA from 1 species